UACCAGCACCCCGAGUGGUCGGGACGAUUAUUGGGCCUAAAGCAUCCGUAGCCGGUUCUACAAGUCUUCCGUUAAAUCCACCUGCUUAACAGAUGGGCUGCGGAGGAUACUAUGGAGCUAGGAGGCGGGAGAGGCAAGCGGUACUUAGUGGGUAGGGGUAAAAUCCGUUGAUCCAUUGAAGACCACCAGUGGCGAAGGCGGCUUGCCAGACGCACUCGACGGUGAGGGAUGAAAGCUGGGGGAGCAAACCGG
rnacentral:rRNA from 1 species